GUCUAAUCCUCGAGUUUCGAGAAUUCACUUCCUUACACCGAGAGUGUUAAUUUAGAACGAAUCGAUGUCAACGUUGAAAAGAACCAAAACCGGAACAACAUUAGACUGCUUAGUUGCGCCCUAACAGUAUAACUUUGCAACGAAUACUUUUUCUCAUUCAAUCGAACAAAGAGUAAAACCUAAUUAUAUUAGUCUAUUAUGCCCCGAGAGUGUUAAUUUAGAACGAAUCGAUGUCAAUGUUGACAAGAACCAAAACCGGAACAACAUUAGACUACUCAGUUGCGCCCUAACAGUAUAACUUUGCAACGAGUACUUUUUCUCAUUCAAUCGAAAAAAGAGUAAAAGCUAAUUAUAUUGUUCUAUUAUGCCACGAGAGUGUAAAUUUGGAAAGAAUCGAUGUUAGCGUUGACAAGAACCAAAACCGGAACAACAUUAGAUUACUCAGUUGCGCCCUAACAGUAUAACUUUGCAACGAGUACUUUUUCUCAUUCAAUCGAACAAAGAGUAAAAGCUAAUUAUAUUGUUCUAUUAUGCCCCGAGAUUGUUAACUUAGAACGAAUCGUUGUCAACCUUCACAAGAACGAGGACCGGAACAACAUUAGACUGCUCAGUUGCGCCCUAACAGUAUAAAUUUGCAACGAGUACUUUUUCUCAUUCAAUCGAACUGUCACGCCCGGGUACCAGCGGAAGCAUAUCCGGCACGUGCACAGACCCGCCAUACACCUGCAGUAUAUAAGGCGUCUACGAGAAGCAAGUCGAUAGGAAGUAAAACAAGAGAGUCUUAUCCUGAUAUCAGAGCAAAGUACAAGUCGAUAUACAACGAGUAUCCAAUCCGAG
rnacentral:lncRNA from 1 species